ensembl:lncRNA
CUACCAAUUCCUAGGUGAUGCUCCAAUGCUGCUGGUUCCCAACCACCGUUUGAGAACCGCUGGCAUAGAACAUGAGCUGGCGAAACUGGAGCACUGAAUACUGCCAGGUAGCAAUGUGGCUUCCAAUGAUCAAAUCUACAUGUUUGAAAGAAAAAUCAUAUAUUUGGACUUCUUUGUGCUAUAACCGGUUACCUAGAAGAGUCCAAAUGAAACAUGGCGGCAACGAGUGACUCCAAGUAGAAUGUUCAGGAAGGAGAACAACAAGGGAAGAAGUGGCCUGGGUCUGUGCAGAUGAUGCCAAUGACAGGGAAAGAGUCAGCAAACUAGGAGGUGAGAAACUAGGGAAGAGACUCAAUUUGAGGAACACAGCUCAUCUUCACAAGCCUGGGAUCCAGAGGGGGCCAGGAGAAAUCAAGCCUUGGAGAAGUUAUGGAAAUUGGGGAGAAGUCUGGAUUUUCUCCAUUGCUGAAUCGGAAGGGGCCCCCUGAGGCCAGCGAUGUUUAAACAGCAGUGGAGGUUGAACCUGCUCACCAGGCCAGCUCACUCAUCUAACUCCGCUCCCCUGCCCCCAGGACCACAGCCUUCUUCAGUCAUGGCCGAACUGCCACGUGAGCAAGAGGUGAAAGGCAAGGUGUGCAAAUAUUUGGCUUCAUCCACGAUCAAAUAAAUCAUUUUUCCUUUCCCUGAGCUCUAGGAAAACCCAGCAAAGCUCCUGGACCUGCCCAGGAGUGAAGACUUAUACACAUAAAACACACCCUGCUUGAAGGAAACUCCAGGCUGUAGAAAGAGUCCAUUUUUCCACACACACAAAUUACAACUGGGAUCUCAACACCUUCCUUUUCCAGAUAUACACCUUCACAAAGCAUGUCAGCCUGUGCAGAGGAAUAGAUGAAGUGAUGCAGGGAAAUAAAAU